CAAAGUGCAUGGUUACAUCCGGGCGGGUUCGCCUGAUUGCAAACCCUAAACCCCUUCUCUUUGAAAAGAGUUACCCAACUGGGGGUGGUUUGUCUAGUGUUUUCCCCUCUCUAAUAUCAAAUGAAAACACUAAUGCUUUGUUUCCUUGUAGUUUGGUCGCUCAACGAGAGGGUUCGAAGGGGGUAAGGUGCGCUACACCCAGAUUUGGGGUUCCAACACUAAGCCGAUGGUUCCUCACUCUCUCUAAUCUCCCCA
rnacentral:lncRNA from 1 species